AGAAAGAAGGUGACAUGUUUAUGGACCCAGAACUAGCUAAGACAGCUAAGACUCUGUGUACAUGCGAAUCACUUCAAGAAUCUUCUUGAUGAAAGAAGCUUGUGUGGUUUGUUAAAAGACUUCGAUCCGCUCACAGCCAUGCAGAUUAAGACGAAUUUAGAUCGACAUUAUUUUGAUAACAAUGAAAACUCAAAUGCUUGAAACGAAAUGAGUGGAGUUGAACGACGCCUGUUUAUCGAAACUACAUCAAUCAACUUUUCAACUAUGCAGGUGAUCGAUCUGGAGAGAUGAAAACAGUCUUAGGAUCUUCACACAGUCUCAGCUUUUUGGCAUUUACUAAUAUCUGAUGAACGGAUUUCAAAAUGUACAAGGCAUCAUAUCAAAGAUUGCAUAUGCCCGAAAGAAGGACAAAUCCAAUUUGGCUCUCUGGAUGUAUGGAAAGCUCUCAACCUUCCAGAAAAGGACUGGUUAACGGAACACUUAAAUCCCUCCGACAGGCCCUCUGGUGGUGACGUAUAAGUGCUUUCUCAGUACUUUCUCUCGCUUUUGGACAAAUCCAAGUGCUGUAUCUGUACCCGAAUAGAAAUAAAGGAUUUUAAUGACACAGUUUUCUUCCGCUCUGAAAGUGAACGAAUUACAAAACAGUCUAGAGAAUUCCUCGCCCUGCUGCAGAAGAUCAAUCCUGGGUUGUGCUCACCAAAGCAAACCUCUUUUUUUGUGUAUUCAGUGUCUUAACUAUGUAAAAGACAACUAUAACAGGGUGUACAGUGCUGUUUCUGAAAUUGACGAAUCCUCUUGUGAUGAAGAUUGAAGAAGCUAUUGCCAUCCAAGUGGAAAAAGUCCCGCCUUUGUCACCCUCCUCGAAUAGAACUAAGAAAAUGUGGAGACUUUCUUCAUUUAGUUCCAAAUCAAGUGGACCAGAUGUUGAUUUGUUUGAAAUGGACUGAGACUUGUGUUUCAUAUGCCAGGUUGAACAGACGUUAGAAACGAAAAAGGAUAGUCUGAUUCAAGGAAAAGAUAAUAGUUUCUUCGUCGAUUUCGCAACAUACUAUCUGUGGACAUCUACAGAAAUCGUCAGGAUCUGUGCAACAUCGAUGUUAAUCCUGAUUCGCACAUGAACAAGUGCCCUGUUCUUAACCCUGAGAGUCUCGGAAAAUAUCUCUAUAGCAAGCUAGGUAGAUAUCACAAAACAUGUCGUUUGAGGUACAGCAACUCGAGGGUGAAACAAUUGAAGGGUAAAUUAUCUGAAGCUGUAAGUUUAAAACCUGUCUCUAAGGCAGGUUUUAAAAUGGAAAGACACGUGUCCACGCACGACAACACCAAUGCUGCAUUAAUGAGUGCAGGUAUUGAUACGGACCUUUUAACUGGAGCAGGAGAAUGUUUUACCAGAACUGUACCUCGUGUCUGACCUGAAGCUUAAGUACAAUGACUAUGUGACGUCUAAUUUAUCUGAGAACGCUGCAAACUCCAGCAAUGUUUAAUCUGAUCACAUCAGUUUUCAGAAAGACAAUGUCGGUAAGACGAGUUUGUUUCGACAGCAGGAUCGUAUCUAAUCUUGCCGCAACAAUAGAUGCGGAUAGAGAUGAUAACACUUUAACAAAGACAGCACUCUUAAAGGAGAUUAGAAAAGAAAUCUUUCAAUGUAGAAACGAAUUCUAUCAGAAGAUUUAUCUUCAAAAACAUGUUCGAUUUACUGAUCGGACUGUAGAAAUAUAGUGUUUAUGUGGAUUAAUCUGUUAAAGCAGGGCUAUUGUAUCAUUUUAACAUUAACUUUGCAUAGUGAUGAUACGUUUAUUGUGUCUCUUGUGAUUAUCUAUUUCUACAGUGUUACGGUACCACGAGGUUUCUGGCGCAGUGACGCGCUUUCGAGCAAAUAUCGUGCUAGAUACGUCACGCGCCGCAACCGAAUCAGAUUUAAGUGCACUUUUUCCAUUGUAAACACUACAUACGACGCGCAACACGUUCUACGAGGUCGAAAUUUUCGAGGUCUCUAACACCGGAAUGGAGCAAUAUUUAGACGAUCUGACACUUUCUAGGGCUUAAGCAACCUAAGAGAAAUUAGGGGAACAACUCAGAAAAAAUUUUUAGUCGAUAUUCCGGUGUCUGUAGAUGUCCGAAGUUUUGGCAGUAAAGUGCUCACAACACAGCUUCUGAAGGCUCUAGAAGGUUCCCGAUACCGUCAGAGUGUUCAGU